rnacentral:rRNA from 1 species
AGUGAACGCUGGCGGUAGGCCUAACACAUGCAAGUCGAACGGCAGCACAGUAAGAGCUUGCUCUUACGGGUGGCGAGUGGCGGACGAGUGAGGAAUACAUCGGAAUCUACUUUUUCGUGGGGGAUAACGUAGGGAAACUUACGCUAAUACCGCAUACGACCUACGGGUGAAAGCAGGGGAUCUUCGGACCUUGCGCGAUUGAAUGAGCCGAUGUCGGAUUAGCUAGUUGGCGGGGUAAAGGCCCACCAAGGCGACGAUCCGUAGCUGGUCUGAGAGGAUGAUCAGCCACACUGGAACUGAGACACGGUCCAGACUCCUAUGGGAGGCAGCAGUGGGGAAUAUUGGACAAUGGGCGCAAGCCUGAUCCAGCCAUACCGCGUGGGUGAAGAAGGCCUUCGGGUUGUAAAGCCCUUUUGUUGGGAAAGAAAAGCAGCAGGUUAAUACCCCGCUGUUCUGACGGUACCCAAAGAAUAAGCACCGGCUAACUUCGU